GUUGCUGGGGAGUAUUUUUCUUUCUUUUUUUUCCCCAGUGGUUUAGAUAUAGCAUAAAGAUGAAGUUUGAGUCAGGAGAUAUUUCUGAAAUAAUAAUAAUAGCUGUCUUCUAGAAAACCUGUUUCCUUCUGUGCUGAGUUUUUCCUUCAGACUAAGGAGCUUAACUGUAGGAGAGGGAAGGUGCUUUCAAAAGCAGAACUUACGCAACAUCAGGGUUUGUCACUUCUAUUCAAGAGCAAUGGGAGUUCUGGAUGUCUUAUAAAGUACGAGAGCACCUUCAGAAUUGACUACAGUGGAUGGAAGUUGCUGCUUAUGUGGUGAAUGUGAAGAACUGGCUGCUCAAAUACAUCAGAGAAGUGUGGACCCCACAAAAUACUGCUUAUGGACAUGGUCAGAGAUACCUUAUUCCCAGCCUGUAGCAAGAAGGAGAACUGCUUUUUCCCAUUUCAGGUUAGAACAUGCCUGCAACUUCAUCAUCCUGAGGCUGGACUGGGAGCAGGUCAUCAGUGGUGUGUGGGACUAAGAGCUUCUCUAAGGUGCAUUGUAAUUAACCAUAGGGGAAAAGCACUGGAGAACAAGGGUUUGAACCAGCAGGAAUAUUUCAGUUUUAUGGUGCAUUGCAGUCUAUGUUAAAGUGUCUUUCCUCAUAAACAACAAAAAUAAGGUAAAACUCGCUGUCGUAGUUUUAGGGACAGUUUUAUUGUUUGGGCAAUAAACAAAUGCUGAUCUUUCUAGUGACACUGGAAUUUAAUGUUAUAUGUGGAAUGGGCUGCAUACUAUGAAAAUGACUCUGGAUAUUCCCACAUGGCAGUAUGCUCAUUCUCCUAGUUCCUCCCCUUGGGUAACAUGGAGGCACUGUGUGAGAAUGGGAACAGUUGAAUGCUUCUGGUAACGUCUCUUUAGCAAAUCAUUUUGUCAGGUUAUUCUUCUCUUUGGAAUAUCAAAUCACAUUAUCAAGAAACUGGA